rnacentral:rRNA from 1 species
ACUCAAAGGAAUUGACGGGGACCCGCACAAGCAGCGGAGCGUGUGGUUUAAUUCGAUGCAACGCGCAGAACCUUACCAGGACUUGACAUGCUCUCGCACCAGCCGUUAUGGGCUGUCUGCGCAAGCAGCGGGAGCACCGGUGCUGCAUGGCUGUCGUCAGCUCGUGUCGUGAGAUGUUGGGUUCAGUCCCGCAACGAGCGCAACCCCUGCCGUGAGUUACUCUCUCUCACGGAACUGCCGUGAUCAACACGGAGGAAGGCGGGGAUGACGUCAAGUCAGCACGGCCCUGACGUCCUGGGCGACACACACGCUACAAUGGCCGAGACAACGGGUCGCCAACCCGCGAGGGGGAGCCAAUCCCAACAAACUCGGUCUCAGUUCAGAUUGCAGGCUGCAACUCGCCUGCAUGAAGUCGGAGUUGCUAGUAACCGUGGGUCAGCACACCACGGUGAAUACGUUCCCGGGUCUUGUACACACCGCCCGU